rnacentral:rRNA from 1 species
UACGAAGGGGGCUAGCGUUGUUCGGAAUUACUGGGCGUAAAGCGCACGUAGGCGGAUCGAUAAGUCAGGGGUGAAAUCCCAGGGCUCAACCCUGGAACUGCCUUUGAUACUGUCGAUCUGGAGUAUGGAAGAGGUGAGUGGAAUUCCGAGUGUAGAGGUGAAAUUCGUAGAUAUUCGGAGGAACACCAGUGGCGAAGGCGGCUCACUGGUCCAUUACUGACGCUGAGGUGCGAAAGCGUAGGGAGCAAACGGG